UACGUAGGGUCCGAGCGUUGUCCGGAAUUAUUGGGCGUAAAGAGCUCGUAGGCGGCUUGUCGCGUCGACUGUGAAAUCCCGCGGCUCAACUGCGGGUCUGCAGUCGAUACGGGCAGGCUAGAGUUCGGUAGGGGAGACUGGAAUUCCUGGUGUAGCGGUGAAAUGCGCAGAUAUCAGGAGGAACACCGGUGGCGAAGGCGGGUCUCUGGGCCGAUACUGACGCUGAGGAGCGAAAGCGUGGGGAGCGAACAGG
rnacentral:rRNA from 1 species